CGCGUAGGCGGAUCGUUAAGUCAGAGGUGAAAUCCCGGAGCUCAACUUCGGAAUUGCCUUUGAUACUGGCGAUCUUGAGUGUGAGAGAGGUAUGUGGAACUCCGAGUGUAGAGGUGAAAUUCGUAGAUAUUCGGAAGAACACCAGUGGCGAAGGCGACAUACUGGCUCAUUACUGACGCUGAGGCGCGAAAGCGUGGGGAGCAAACAGGAUUAGAUACCCCCGUA
rnacentral:rRNA from 1 species